rnacentral:rRNA from 1 species
CCUACGGGAGGCAGCAGUGGGGAAUAUUGCACAAUGGGGGAAACCCUGAUGCAGCGACGCCGCGUGAGUGAAGAAGUAAUUCGUUAUGUAAAGCUCUAUCAGCAGGGAAGAAAAUGACGGUACCUGAGUCAGAAGCCCCGGCUAACUACGUCCCAGCAGCCGCGGUAAUACGUAGGGGGCAAGCGUUAUCCGGAUUUACUGGGUGUAAAGGGAGCGUAGACGGCAGUGCAAGUCUGGAGUGAAAGGCGGGGGCUCAACCCCCGGACUGCUCUGGAAACUGUACGGCUGGAGUGCAGGAGAGGUAAGUGGAAUUCCUAGUGUAGCGGUGAAAUGCGUAGAUAUUAGGAGGAACACCAGUGGCGAAGGCGGCUUACUGGACUGUAACUGACGUUGAGGCUCGAAAGCGUGGGGAGCAAACAGGAUUAGAUACCCUGGUAGUC